AGACACCUCACCCUAACUGAUCCCGACGAGCUGGCCGACGCCUUGCAUGGUCCCGAAGCAGCAGGGGGCGACCGGGUGCCUAUUUGGGAUCCGGCGCUCCUCCAGGAUCGGCCGGAUGAUCCACAGCUACCUGCGUCUGAUCCCCGGCGUGGCCAACGACCCUGAGGGCAUGGCCGAGACCACAGAGCUCUACGACAACUGGCUGAAGCUGGAGCUGAUCGACCACUACGAGAGGAUGACCAACAAGAAGAGGAUGGGCUCCGAGGCCAUGAGGCAGUGGCUUGCUGGCGCCGCCGUCCACAUGCACAUGAGGAUCCACCAGGUGAGACUGAAAUCGGUGCCUCUUGGCUCGGCCGAGUCCCUGCGCCUCUCUUACAGGACGGCUUUCGCCCAGCUGGUGCAGGACUACGCAUCCUACCUCCGCCGAAACAUCCGGGAAACCCCGCCUUCAGGCACAUACAAACCCAACGCGGCCCAGCCAGGCGAGCGAACACCGGCGGCUACGACGUUCCAGCGCCUCACCGACCACGGGACCCGGAAGGAACCGAGUGAGACAGAGGGAGCAGGGGUAGCCGUCUGCGUGGGGGCGACGAUGGGUAACGUCAGCCUGGCCUGCCCAAUGAAUGACCUCAACGGGACCGGCCCCGACGGGCAUAACUCAACCACCGCAGCGAACCAAGCGGCAGCUUUUAGCGGAGGAUCCAAUGAGGUUACGGGGCAAACAGGUCCAAAACAGAUGGAUAAUAAUAAUGACGUGGGCCCUGAAAGAGGUGCAGCCAGUGUGUUGAGUGGUGUUGGCGGGGCUGCGCAGCCAACAGCCAGUGACGGUCUGUUAGUCAUUGAAGCCAUGAGGAACGUGAGUCAUGGUGUACGGCAUCGGGCCUGUGAGUCUCCAGUCAUAGAGCAAGCCCUGGCCACCCUCAUUUCAGAGGCGCAGGACCUGGAAGAGAGCAGGGACUUUUUCCUGUACCCCCGGCCACUGCUUGACAAUCUGCUCGGCCAGAGAGCUGACUUUGACUUGAAGAUAAGAUGGCGGAAAACUAUUUGAACUAUUCGCAAAGCUGUUAGGGAGAUUGAAAAGCAUGAGGGUAUUGGGACAGCCUCGGGGGGGGGUUAACCGCUGUAUUGGGAAUCUAAGUUGAGUGAUUGAGUGUGUUAAGACAAAAUGUGUGAAGGUUAACGUUAAGGUGAGUGAAGGAUAAAACAAAAUGCCACACAUUUUGUCUUAACCUUAAAGAAAUGAUCAACCAAACCAAUUCAAUAUAAAAUAAAGAUGAAGAUGAUGAUCUGAUUGUGUGCGUAUUUGUGUGUGUAUGUGUUUGUGCGUGUUUGUGUGUGUGUGUGUGUGUGUGUGUGUGUGUGUCCCUACAAUAGCAAACCCAUUUACAAAUGGCAAAGACAUUCCUACUGAAGUUAAGGUUUCAAGCAC
ensembl:lncRNA